rnacentral:misc_RNA from 1 species
UCCGGUUUGUCACCGGCAGUCUCGUUAAAGUGCCCAACUAAAUGAUGGCAAUUAACGACAAGGGUUGCGCUCGUUGCGGGACUUAACCCAACAUCUCACGACACGAGCUGACGACAGCCAUGCAGCACCUGUGUUAGCGUUCCCUUUCGGGCACCCUCACAUCUCUGCGAGGUUCGCUACAAGUCAAGGGUAGGUAAGGUUUUUCGCGUUGCAUCGAAUUAAUCCACAUAAUCCACCGCUUGUGCGGGUCCCCGUCAAUUCCUUUGAGUUUUAACCUUGCGGCCGUACUCCCCAGGCGGUCAACUUCACGCGUUAGCUUCGUUACCAAGGGAAUCAAUCCCCCGACAACCAGUUGACAUAGUUUAGGGCGUGGACUAC